AUUGAACGCUGGCGGCAGGCCUAACACAUGCAAGUCGAACGGUAACAGGAAGAAGCUUGCUUCUUUGCUGACGAGUGGCGGAUGGGUGAGUAAUGUCUGGGAAACUGCCUGAUGGAGGGGGAUAACUACUGAAAACGGUAGCUAAUACCGCAUAACGUCGCAAGACCAAAGAGGGGGACCUUCGGGCCUCUUGCCAUCGGAUGUGCCCAGAUGGGAUUAGCUAGUAGGUGGGGUAACGGCUCACCUAGGCGACGAUCCCUAGCUGGUCUGAGAGGAUGACCAGCCACACUGGAACUGAGACACGGUCCAGACUCCUACGGGAGGCAGCAGUGGGGAAUAUUGCACAAUGGGCGCAAGCCUGAUGCAGCCAUGCCGCGUGUAUGAAGAAGGCCUUCGGGUUGUAAAGUACUUUCAGCGGGGAGGAAGGGAGUAAAGUUAAUACCUUUGCUCAUUGACGUUACCCGCAGAAGAAGCACCGGCUAACUCCGUG
rnacentral:rRNA from 1 species